rnacentral:rRNA from 1 species
AUGCUAGAGAAAUUGUUAGUGCAAAAGCAGGAUAAUUCUUCAGAUUACAGCCUACACUCUGGGAUUAUGAGAUUCAAGGGUAAACUAUGGGUGGGCAAGUCUGCAGAGCUGAGAAAUAAACUACUGUCUGCACUACACAAUUCCUCCAUUGGAGGCCACUCAGGAGUGAGAGCUACAUAUAACAGAGUGAAGAACAUUUUUUUCUGGCCAGGACUGAAACAUGAUGUAGAAACUUUUGUUGCAGCUUGCCCUAUUUGCCAAAGAGCAAAACAUGAGAACUGCUUGCAACCUGGCCUGCUGGACCCCCUUCCUGUUGCAGACAUGGCUUGGCAACACAUCUCACUGGACUUUGUGGAAGGCCUACCAAAAUCCCAGGGCAAGGAUGUUAUUAUGGUUGUGGUCGAUAGAUUCACGAAGUACAGCCAUUUCAUUCCCCUGUCUCACCCAUAUUCAGUUCUCUGGGUGGCCCAAAAGUUUGUUGACAACAUCAUAAGACUACAUGGCCCUCCUAAACUUAUUGUCUCUGAUAGAGAUAGAAUUUUCACGAGCAAAUUGUGGAAGGACAUUUUUACAGCACUUAAGGUGGAACUAAGGUUUAGCACAGCCUAUCAUCCGCAAACUGAUGGCCAGAUAGAGCGGGUGAACCAGUGUUUAGAAACUUAUCUGCGAUGUAUGACAACUGAUCAACCUACCAAGUGGAUGUCAUGGCUGUCUCUAGCAGAAUAUUGGUAUAAUUCCACUUACCACACUGCUCUGAAAAUGUCUCCAUUCCAAGCCCUUUAUGGAUUUCCACCUCCACUCAUAUCUGAAUUAGAGAUACCUGGACCAGAAGAUGAGGAAGCACAAGAUUUCUUGACUGCUAAACAGCAAAUGUUAGAGCAUUUGAAAGAGAAUUUGUGCACAGCCCAGAACAGAAUGAAGCGUUAUGCAGACCUCAAACGAGUGGAGAGACGUUUCCAGGUUGGGGACAUGGUCUACUUGAAGAUGGCACCUUAUCGAUUAGCAGCAUUUGGCUUUCGCGGAACUCUGAAGUUGCAGAACAAGUAUUAUGGCCCUUUUCUCAUAAUCCAAAAGAUAGGGAACUCUGCUUACAAAUUGCAAUUCCCUGGCAAGGUUCAGAUACACCCUGUCUUCCAUGUCAGCCAGCUCAAGAAACACAUUGGGACAAAAGCGAUUCCGAGCCCCAACCUUCCAAUGGUCAAUGCUGAUGGUACGAUCAAAACGGGUCCAGCCGCAGUUCUACAGGUCAGGCAAAUCCCACGCAACAAUGCCCCUGUGGUACAGUGGCAAAUUCAAUGGGAAAAUCUGUCACCGGAGGACGCUACGUGGGAAGAUGCAGACUUCAUCAAGUAUUCAUUCCCCGAGUUUUUCAGGCAAACUACACAAGCUUGGCGCGCAGCACAAGAAUCGACGUGA